UACAGAGGGUGCAAGCGUUAAUCGGAAUUACUGGGCGUAAAGGGCGCGUAGGCGGAUGAAUAAGUUAGGUGUGAAAUCCCCGGGCUUAACCUGGGAAUGGCAUUUAAUACUGUUUAUCUGGAGUAGAGUAGAGGGAAGUGGAAUUUCCGGUGUAGCGGUGAAAUGCGUAGAGAUCGGAAAGAACACCAGUGGCGAAGGCGGCUUCCUGGACUCAUACUGACGCUGAGGCGCGAAAGCGUGGGUAGCAAACAGG
rnacentral:rRNA from 1 species